AAUGAACGCUGGCGGCAGGCUUAACACAUGCAAGUCGAACGGGUGUAGCAAUACAUCAGUGGCAGACGGGUGAGUAACACGUGGGAACCUUCCUAGGGGUACGGAACAACUCAGGGAAACUUGAGCUAAUACCGUAUACGUCCGUGAGGAGAAAGAUUUAUCGCCCUUAGACGGGCCCGCGUCGGAUUAGGUAGUUGGUGGGGUAACGGCCUACCAAGCCUACGAUCCGUAGCUGAUCUGAGAGGAUGAUCAGCCACACUGGGACUGAGACACGGCCCAGACUCUUACGGGAGGCAGUAGUGGGGAAUCUUGGACAAUGGGCGAAAGCCUGAUCCAGCCAUGCCGCGUGAGUGAAGAAGGCCUUAGGGUUGUAAAGCUCUUUUGCCAGGGACGAUAAUGACGGUACCUGGAGAAUAAGCCCCGGCAAACUUCGUGCCAGCAGCCGCAGUAAUAC
rnacentral:rRNA from 1 species